AAUUAGUUUCGGCGUGGUCGUCUAGUGAAGAAGUUGGGCAGCUGCCGUCUAAUGAAAUAGUGACAAAUUUUGUGUUGGUUUCUCCUAAUAAUCAGUUAUUUCUUCUGAUUAACUAGUUUACUAACAAAGUUUUGACUGAAGCUGUUAUACAAGUGUCUCCUCGUUACGUCUCACGACUCUCACCUGGUCUCAUCCCAUUGCCUCGACAAACUGGAUCGGGUCUUCUAGAAUCUAUCGGGCCCCCACUUUUAAUCCAGAUGUAUGUUUCGUGUACACACCCCUCUCGAGAGCAAUGCGAUACGUCCACUGAGAAGUUUGUCGAUACAUUGGCCACCACCUGACGUCAUCAUUUUCCUCGGGGGGUCGACAUUUCGUAUUGAGGGGAUCGACUGGAGCCAAAUGUCAAACUCGGACUUUGUAGUAUAGCAGGGAAUGACGUGAAGACGCUGAGAGGUGAGAUGUUGAGUGGGGGGGGGGGGGGUAAGAAGACGGUUGGAUGUUAUCAAACUCGAGUGUUCACGAGAAGUCGAAAUGAAAUGGGACACAGAACGAGAGAGAUGAAAAAAAAAACUUUUUUAAAAAUUUUUUGUGUGAAUAAGUGUCAUAUCUUUUCUUCCUUUUCAGUUUCACACGACACUUUCACGCUUGUUGGCCGCGGCUGAACUACUUGACGUCUCCCUUCGAAGGAAAUCGUGCGAUUGGCGAAAGGCUUUGGGCAUCGUGUCGCUCCACGUGACGUGCGGUUUUUUCGUUUCCGUCGCUGCUGCCGUUCCAGCAAGUGUCGAAGAGGAUCCCAUGCCGAAGCCUUUGUACGACCGUGGUAGGGUGGCCGGUCCAAAAUCGCACGACCCUGUGAAGAAUUAAGAAACAAAAAACACGAUCCUUUCGUUAAUUGGUUUCGACGUGAAAAGAGAACUAUCUGUCGUGUACGGAGGUGUGAUGAGUCCGGCUUCAAUCGACUGCUGAUGCGUCAUCAUCAUGUUCGGCGGAGGCGGGGGAGGAGGCAGCGAUGGCGAGUGAGCAGACGGUGGAGGUUCGCCAACUGGCCAGCCGAGUUGCGUCAAUCCGGUGUGACAAAACAUUUGGUUCUUCCAGUGGUCGGGCUCAAUCCUGGACACGAACAUGGGACCACCUCCGCCGGCGUCUAGAUUGCAGUCUACGCUAUCCAUCAGGGGUUUGAGCGAUUGCGAUCGGGGAUUCACACCUCCGCCUCUCGCCGCCUUCGAGAUGGUCGAAGCACCGCCCGCUGUUCCAUUUGUUUGGUUGAGGGUCGACUCGGAAGUGCGGAUUAGUCCGCCGUUGGAUGCAUUGCCAAUCCCGUCAUUGUUGGCCGCCGCCUGGGCUUCUCGGAUGCACUGACGUCGCAGGAAGACGACAACGACGAUGCCAGCGAUGCACAGCAACAAUACCACCCCACUGAGGAUCCCCAGCGUUGGAGUCAGGAUUGAAUUACUUGGGCGUGGUUCUGCAAAAAAGAGAAAGCGGACAGACAAAAAAUACGAGUAACACAAGGUCAGAAAAAUUUAACAUCAAAUUUAAUUUCUUUGGUAUAAAAUUGAUUUUCUGUUUUCACACAUCAGUCAAGGAAUUUGUUGCUGCAGAUGCCACAAGAUCUUAUCGCAAUCCGUCGCUUCUUAGUUACGUUAACUAGUGUUAGACUGACAACAAAAGGAUUGACGUUAGAAAAGAGGAAACGCUCUUGAAAGAUAAAUAAUCUAACCGUAUGAGGGGUGAAAAGGCGAUGUGGCGGUGUCGGUGGCAGGAAAAAAAGGAAAUAAAGUCAAAAGAGGAAGAAAAGUAAGACAGGAUAUGCGCUGUGUGGGCUUGUGUGUGUGUGUGUGUAUACUCUCGAGUGAAUAGAACCGCCGCAGACUCCCGCGGGAUCGAAAAUGAGUAAACAAGGGACCUGAUAUUAUGUAUACAGCCGUUGCUCCCCAACAUAUCCAUAUUUCUAGCUGCGAGAGAGAUGCACUGGCUGCGACAGUCAAUUUCGUUUUCGUUUGUAAGCAAAAGCAACAAACCAACAUCAAUAUUCUAGCACUUCUGCUACUGCUGUUACGUAUAAAGGAGCGGCUGUGUGUAGAUUCUCUUGACUUAUUACAUCAGAAAUUCCAUCAAUAUAGUAGGGCCUCAAUAGAUCAAUAGAAAAGAAUAAAAACAUUUUUUUGUGGGAAUAAGGGACGGGAGAAAAAAGUAAGAAAAAGUAAUCGGACCUGUCGACUUGCCUGGUUUGACCUCCAGCUGUCUCUCCGGCUCUUUCUGGGUAGAUAUUUCGACAAUGACAUCGUCGCUCUUGCCUUUGGCGUUGAUGGAAGCAAUGGAAGCCUUGUAGCGCAUGUUCGUCUUGAGACUUGACAGGAGGAAGAUGGGUUCGGCGAAAAUCUGGUGGAUGACGAGUCGACCUGACGAGUUGCUCUCCUCGAAGAAGUGGAGCGAGAAAUUCUGCGGCAGUCCACCGUGAAAACCCGGCUGGCAGGCGAUCAGGAACGCAUCGCUGGAGUGGUUGGAAACGGUGCAGUUGAAGACCGGCUCGGGUGGACCUGAUGAGUAACAAGGAAAUUCAACCAGGCGAAAAUUCAUUACACGUUGUGUGUGUACAUUUGGGUAAAUGAUGUUCAAUGCGGACAAGUUUGGAUAUUACCUUGUAGAAUUACACUGUACCGUAUUACACUGCUUUUACAUAUA